AUAACCUACCUAUAAGACUAGGGAUAACUUUCGGGAAACCAGGAGCUAAUACACGGAUAAUAUUUNUGAACCGCAUGGUUCAAAAGUAAAAGACGGUCUUGCUGUCACUUAUAGAUGGAUCCGCGCUGCAUUAGCUAGUUGGUAAGGUAACGGCUUACCAAGGCAACGAUGCAUAGCCGACCUGAGAGGGUGAUCGGCCACACUGGAACUGAGACACGGUCCAGACUCCUACGGGAGGCAGCAGUAGGGAAUCCUCCGCAAUGGGCGAAAGCCUGACGGAGCAACGCCGCGUGAGUGAUGAAGGUCUUCGGAUCGUAAAACUCUGUUAUUAGGGAAGAACAUAUGUGUAAGUGACUGUGCACAUCUUGACGGUACCUAAUCAGAAAGCCACGGCUAACUACGUGCCAGCAGCCGCGGUAAUACGUAGGUGGCAAGCGUUAUCCGGAAUUAUUGGGCGUAAAGCGCGCGUAGGCGGUUUUUUAAGUCUGAUGUGAAAGCCCACGGCUCAACCGUGGAGGGUCAUUGGAAACUGGAAAACUUGAGUGCAGAAGAGGAAAGUGGAAUUCCAUGUGUAGCGGCGAAAUGCGCAGAGAUAUGGAGGAACACCAGUGGCGAAGGCGACUUUCUGGUCUGUAACUGACGCUGAUGUGCGAAAGCGUGGGGAUCAAACAGGAUUAGAUA
rnacentral:rRNA from 1 species